rnacentral:rRNA from 1 species
AUGUAUAGCAAUAGCUACUUGCAUCAUUGUAAAAAUGAUGCAGGAUCGACUAUGUCGAAUAAAAUUCUAGGUAGAAUUAUGAUAAUGACAUUGUCUGCCUAUGUGUCUUGACCAAAUUACGUGCCAGCAGUCGCGGUAAUACGUAGAAGACUAGUGUUAUUCAUGUUUAAUCGGUUUAAAGGGUACCUAGACGGUAAAUCAAGCCUAAAAUUAAAUGAAGGGACUAAUUUACUAGAGUUACUUAUGAGGGGGUAUUAAAGUACUGCUGGUGUAGAGAUGAAAUUCUGUCAUACCUCUUUUCAAUAGAAAAACAAUGGCACAGGUAUAGGCGAAAGCAUCCCCUUAUGUGAUAACUGACGUUGAGGGACGAAGGCUUUGUGUAGCGAACAGGAUUAGAUACCCCAGUAGUCAAAGCAGAAAAUGAUGAAUGUCAUAGAUUAGAUAAAUAAGUUUAUUCUAUAAAUGAAAGUGUAAGCAUUCCACCUCAAGAGUAAUUUGGCAACAUUGGAACUGAAAUCAUUAGACCGUUUCUGAAACCAGUAGUGAAGUAUGUUGUUUAAUUUGAUGAUCCGCAAAAAACCUUNCCACAAUUUGAAUAUUUAUAUUUUUUAUUGUUUUCUUUUUAAUUUUCUUCUGAUUUGAUUUUUCUAAAGAAAAAAAGAAAAAGAGGCGAUAUGAUAUAUUUNCAAGNGUNGCNCGGCUGUCUUCAGUUAAUGUCGCGAGACUUUGGUUAGUUCCAUUAAAUUAACGUAAACCCUUACUUUAUUUUUAUAUAGAGUAGUUCCCCGCUAUAUUGGAUAUGAUAAC